rnacentral:rRNA from 1 species
GACGAACGCUGGCGGCGUGCUUAACACAUGCAAGUCGAGCGGUAAGGCCCUUUCGGGGGUACACGAGCGGCGAACGGGUGAGUAACACGUGGGUGACCUGCCCUCAGCUCUGGGAUAAGCCUGGGAAACCGGGUCUAAUACUGGAUAUGACUCCAUGACGCAUGUUGUGGGGUGGAAAGCCUUGUGCGGCUGAGGAUGGGCCCGCGGCCUAUCAGCUUGUUGGUGGGGUGGAUGGCCUACCAAGGCGACGACGGGUAGCCGGCCUGAGAGGGCGACCGGCCACACUGGGACUGAGACACGGCCCAGACUCCUACGGGAGGCAGCAGUGGGGAAUCUUGCGCAAUGGGCGAAAGCCUGACGCAGCGACGCCGCGUGAGGGAUGACGG